GACGAACGCUGGCGGCGUGCUUAACACAUGCAAGUCGAACGGAAAGGCCUGCUUUCCCUUGUGCAUUGCGGGUACUCGAGUGGCGAACGGGUGAGUAACACGUGAGUGAUCUGCCCCCAACUUGGGUAUAAGCCUGGGAAACUGUGUCUAAUUCCCGAUAGGACUGCAGGGUGGUGCCUGUGGUGGAAAACGAUUUGCUAGUGGUUGGGGAUGAGCUCGCGGCCUAUCAGCUUGUUGGUGGGGUAAUGGCCUACCACGGCGGCGAGGGGUAGCCGGCCGGAGAGGGUGGACGGUGGCAUUGGGACUGAGACACGGCUCCGACUCGUACGGGAGGCAGCAGUGGGGACUAUUGCACCAUGGGCGGAAGCCUGAUGCAGCGCCGCCGCGUGGGGGAUGACGGCCUUCGGGUUGUAAGCUCCUUUCGACCGAGAGGAAGCCACCUGGUUGGGAGGGUGGUGACGGUAGUGGUAGAAGAAGCACCGGCUAACUACGUG
rnacentral:rRNA from 1 species